rnacentral:rRNA from 1 species
UGAGGAAUAUUGGACAAUGGGUGAGAGCCUGAUCCAGCCAUCCCGCGUGAAGGACGACGGCCCUAUGGGUUGUAAACUUCUUUUGUAUAGGGAUAAACCUUUCCACGUGUGGAAAGCUGAAGGUACUAUACGAAUAAGCACCGGCUAACUCCGUGCCAGCAGCCGCGGUAAUACGGAGGGUGCAAGCGUUAUCCGGAUUUAUUGGGUUUAAAGGGUCCGUAGGCGGACUCGUAAGUCAGUGGUGAAAUCUCAUAGCUUAACUAUGAAACUGCCAUUGAUACUGCGGGUCUUGAGUAAGGUAGAAGUGGCUGGAAUAAGUAGUGUAGCGGUGAAAUGCAUAGAUAUUACUUAGAACACCAAUUGCGAAGGCAGGUCACUAUGUCUUAACUGACGCUGAUGGACGAAAGCGUGGGGAGCGAACAGG